GCUUCUUCUCGGCCUUUUGGCUAAGAUCAAAGUGUAGUAUCUGUUCUUAUCAGCUUAAUAUCUGAUACGUCCUCCAUUGGGGGACAUCGAUAUUAAACUGAUUUUUGAAAGGGGGUGAGGUGCCCGGGGCUUGCUCCGCCCUCCUACCACGGGUUGACCCGGUAUUCGGGCAGUACUUCCGGGAAUGGCCCACCACUA